rnacentral:pre_miRNA from 1 species
UGGCGGUGCGCGGUGCAAUUUCUGUUAACCCGCUUUCUUGAGUGCAGAUUGCACUACCCAUCGCCCACA